rnacentral:rRNA from 1 species
UAGGGAAUCUUCCGCAAUGGGCGAAAGCCUGACGGAGCAACGCCGCGUGAGUGAUGAAGGUCUUCGGAUCGUAAAACUCUGUUAUUAGGGAAGAACAAAUGUGUAAGUAACUAUGCACGUCUUGACGGUACCUAAUCAGAAAGCCACGGCUAACUACGUGCCAGCAGCCGCGGUAAUACGUAGGUGGCAAGCGUUAUCCGGAAUUAUUGGGCGUAAAGCGCGCGUAGGCGGUUUUUUAAGUCUGAUGUGAAAGCCCACGGCUCAACCGUGGAGGGUCAUUGGAAACUGGAAAACUUGAGUGCAGAAGAGGAAAGUGGAAUUCCAUGUGUAGCGGUGAAAUGCGCAGAGAUAUGGAGGAACACCAGUGGCGAAGGCGACUUUCUGGUCUGUAACUGACGCUGAUGUGCGAAAGCGGGGGGAGCAAACAGG